CCYWWMMACMUGCCAAGUCGAACGGUAACAGGAARCAGCUUGCUGYUUCGCUGACGAGUGGCGGACSSSYKAKUAAUGUCUGGGAAACUGCCUGAUGGAGGGGGAUAACUACUGGAAACGGUAGCUAAUACCGCAUAACGUCGCAAGACCAAAGAGGGGGACCUUCGGGCCUCUUGCCAUCGGAUGUGCCCAGAUGGGAUUAGCUAGUAGGUGGGGUAACGGCUCACCUAGGCGACGAUCCCUAGCUGGUCUGAGAGGAUGACCAGCCACACUGGAACUGAGACACGGUCCAGACUCCUACGGGAGGCAGCAGUGGGGAAUAUUGCACAAUGGGCGCAAGCCUGAUGCAGCCAUGCCGCGUGUAUGAAGAAGGCCUUCGGGUUGUAAAGUACUUUCAGCGGGGAGGAAGGGAGUAAAGUUAAUACCUUUGCUCAUUGACGUUACCCGCAGAAGAAGCACCGGCUAACUCCGUGCCAGCAGCCGCGGUAAUACGGAGGGUGCAAGCGUUAAUCGGAAUUACUGGGCGUAAAGCGCACGCAGGCGGUUUGUUAAGUCAGAUGUGAAAUCCCCGGGCUCAACCUGGGAACUGCAUCUGAUACUGGCAAGCUUGAGUCUCGUAGAGGGGGGUAGAAUUCCAGGUGUAGCGGUGAAAUGCGUAGAGAUCUGGAGGAAUACCGGUGGCGAAGGCGGCCCCCUUGGACGAAGACUGACGCUCAGGUGCCGAAAGCKUGGGGAGCAAMCGGAUUAGAUMCCCUGGUAGUCCACGCCGUAAACGAUGUCGACUUGGAGGUUGUGCCCUUGAGGCGUGGCUUCCGGGAGCUAACGCGUUAAGUCKACCGCCUGGGSGAGUMCSGGCCGCARGGUUAAAACUC
rnacentral:rRNA from 1 species